CCUAUAAAUGUCCCUAGACUACCCGCUCAUUGGAGGCACCUGAGAGAGGCAAACAAAUCUGAUUCGUCCAAUCAGCAUGCAACAGUAAAUCUUACCCCCGCAGUGAAUUACCACCGUUGGAUUUGUCCCCGUGUUUGACACUUCCCAACUGGGUAAAAGGCUCGAUGACAUAUGGACCCAUAUGUGUUGUUGGUCCCGCUCCACAGAGAGCAGAAUAGCUCAUACUCGGUCCCUCAGAAAUAUUUGCAACGCAAGAUACGGUGAAAACCCUAGCUACCAAUCCCUUCGUGGCCUCGAGCCCCGCGCCUCUCCUCCGCCCAUUCUCCUCCCUCCCGUCCCCAAUCGCGUGCGUCCUCUCCUCCCCCGGUCCCUCCUCGCCCCUCUCACCUGCUCCCGUCCGUCAUCGUCCCCGUGCUGGCCGGAGAUGGGGCGACGCCGUCACCAUGGUGGUGCCGGAGGAGGUUGCCGAGCGGGGGCUCGGGGCCCGGAGCGGAAGGCUCCAGGCAACGGCGCCGCCCGCGGCGACGACGUGGUCAGGAAUCGGAGCAGGACGGGCGGGAUCCGGGACAGGACAUGCGGGAUCCGGGUCAGGGCCGGCCAAAUCGUGGCGGGCGGCGGAUUUCGCCUCCCAAUGGUGACACGCCUCUCCCAUCAAUGGAGCCGGACGGGGACGGCCGAGGUGGCAGGCCGGAGAAGGCGACGCGGGCGGGCAGCGGCUCGUCGCUUGGAGAAAGUCGCCCACGAUCCCGGGGCUCGAGAUCUCCGGUCAAGGCGACGUCGUGGAGGUUGCAGGCCGGCUCUCCUCCAAUCCCGUGCCUCCUCUCGUCCUCCCGAAUCAGCCGCCGCCUCCUCUGGUUCGCUCGAUCCCGUCGGACGGCCGGACGAGUUAGCGACGACGGAGGAGCAGGAGGGGUCGAGGUGCGCGGAUGGCGUGGAGGCAUCCACGACGGGACGGCCACGGUCGUGGGCCGUUGGAGCGCGCACGGAGGAGGGCAGCGGCGCGUCGGCUUGAGAUGGUCGUUCACAGCCGGCUGGAGCUCGAAAUCUCCUUCUCCAGUUUGUUGUCUGCUCCUCCCUGAACAGCUUGAGGCAGAGAAGAGCUGCAGAUCUCGUCAAAAAAAGGUUGGUCGUCGUUCCCUUCUUUAUCCCUGCUGAUUAGUCUCUCCAUGUGAGCUCAUUUUUCUGACUUUUGGUAGUCCCUUUAUAGAACACAGCUGAUGCCCACACAGCCUUAGUAUCUCAGCUUGAUUUAGUGAUUCUUUCUGAAGAUCUGAGAUAAAUUAAGCAUGGAUGGAUAGAGGUUCGUUGAUGGGUGCAGGUCUGACCACCAGCUGUUUUUUGAAGCCUUUCUCAAAGUGAUUUUUUUAGAACGAUAUUUCUUUUCUUGAUGCCUAUAAUAUACCUUGUUUAUGGCUGUGUAAAUCUGCAGGGGCUAUUUUUUUUUAGAAUGAUAUUUCUUUUCUUGAUGCCUAUAAUAUACCUUGUUGUUUCUGGCUGUGUAAAUCUGCAGGGGCAAUGAGAUGAGGUUUGUCAGUGAACUGAAAUUGCAUAUAUUCUACUGGUGUUUAGUAAAAUUUGCAGCUUUAGGUUAGAUUUUUUCAAUUUGAACAGCAACAAAUCCGAGUCCAUGGUUAUUUUGUAAAUUCCAUUGUUUCAAUUGUAUAUGAUCUUACACUUGUUGCCUUUCAACUCCAAAAUCUGCCUGAUACAAAACUGAUCCAAUAAUUAUUCUGUUACCGUAUACUGUGCCUCUGAACAUGUGCCUCUGAACAGAAUUUCAACAAUAGUGGUGCUAGGAGAGAAAAAGUUUUUUUUUCCAUUUACUCAUCCAGUGGGCUGGACACGGGGCCGGUGACGGCAUCGUCUGGAUGCGGCGGCGGCUGCGGCGGUGCUGGCCGCGGCGGACGCGAAGGAGGAGUCGCGCCUGGCCGAGGUCGGGCGGGAGGAGGCGGCGCGGCAGCGGGCGGCGGACGGGGGUCACCGUGCUGCGGGAGGCCAGGUGUGCCGCGGUGCAGCAGCGCAAGCGCCUCCACCCGACCCGUAGCGAGCUGCACCGGCCGCCCCACGCCCCCACCCGAGGCGGAGAGGCUAGCGGCGAGUGGUGUGGAGCUGCAUGUGAGAGGAAGGAGGGUUGGGUGUCCCUUCUUCUUGUCCUUCACGACCUUGGGUUGCAAGGAGCCAACUCGGGGAGGACUCGAGGCUCAGUGGCGUUCCUUACGGCCGCCCGGGAUCCCCUCUCCUUCUUCUUUUAAUCCAUCUGGAGAUAAGGUCCACAUCUAAUUUUAGAGAAAUCGCGGUUCGUUACGUUGGAUGUUUGAGGUCUAGCAUUCUGUACCUGGAGGAAAUAAGACGAGGCAUGUGUUUUAGUUUCGAUGAAACUAUCAGAGCUGAACUGUAACACAUAUCAGGUUGUAAAUCAUAGAAGCUAUGAGAGCCGAACUGUAAUAAGAUGAGGCAUGUGUUACAGUUUGUGGGUAUUAGAUAACUAAAUUUGCAGUGCAGGUUGUAAAUCAUCUAGAGCAGAAUGUAUUGGAUGAUAUUUAGUAGUAAUAGCAUAGUAAAGUUGGCCAACAAAUGAUCCUUUGCAUCAAUCUUCUGGUAUUUCUUGUUUCUACGGUCUGGAUUUUUUUUGUGAUUUUACCAUGUAUACUAAGUUGUGUCUCUGAAUUUAGAUAUGUUGAUUGUUUUUCUUUCCUCUUUUUAGAAUAUUGGGACAGUGAUCCUAUUUUGGCUCCCAUCAACUAAUAUUCAGCAGUUACCCUUGCUUUCUCUGAUCAUUUCCUCAAGAUCUUCAGGCUUUUAUUGGUUGUCAGUUUGUUACGUUGAAGCAGGCUGUUUGGGUUUGUGCCUACCCUAUUGUGUGAAUCCAAGCACCACCAAGGCAGUAAGGUUCAAGGAAAGCAUAUCAGUUAUUGUAGUUCAUAGGGUAAAGCUUUAAUUGGUUGUAGUUGUUUGGAUUUCUGAAUUGUUGCAACACUUCAUGCUGCCCUUUGCUUAUUGGAAAUUGGUGUUCUUAUUUCUCCCGCCAUGUGCUGAUUAUAUUCAAUACUUGUUGUGUCAUCUGAGAAGCAUGUAUUUAUAUCCUGAACAUCAUCAUUCUAAGAAGUGUAGCCUGUAAGUGCCGCAGAAUUUGAUUUUAUUGUGUUUUUGCGAUGUUACCUAUAUCAAGAGUUGCAAGCACGAGUACCAUCUCAAAGCAUAUGCUAUUCAAUUUAUUUACCGCAAGUCUGCUACAUGGUACUAUCAUCUUCUGCUGGCUACUAGAUACAUCCCAGUAACUAGGCCCCCUUAUUAUAUUUUUCUUGUGUCAUUUGUGUAUUCCUAGACUGUCUGGUGUUCUGAUCAACAGAUUAAGAACUGCCACUGGUAUAAAUAUUAAAUAGUCAGCUUAUUUUAGUAGUUCUCCUGUGAAAUUCAUACCGGCUCGUUUUAAUAUAAUGGUUUGCCUAUAUGCAACCAGGUAAGAGCACUCUUGUGCAGCCAUGGGAAUUUCUCUUUUGCUGAUUCCUGGGGGUUCAUAGUUCGUUAUUAUGUGCUGAUUCAGCGGGGUCGUGCGCCAAGGCGCACAUCCUGAAAAAUUGAAAAAUAGGGCGGGGAAGGCAACUACCACCGGCGGUUGUCUGGCUUGUGGGUGCAUCCGGGUUGCCAUUUUACAACAUUAGAGAUUAGAGAAUGUACUGUUAUGUCCACAUCUAUAUUGUAUUUUGAAUCGUUCCUUUUUCAUGCAUUGACGGUCGUUUCCUUGUUUUAGUCUAUUUGAGACAUGUUUCCUGGUGUCAGCGACGCAUAGGUACCAUGUGGUUUACUCGUCUUAUUUUUCUCCUCUUUUAUCAUGUAUAUCUUGGUGAAUGUUCAGCAGCUUAUGUGCUAUUUUUCCCCUACUAAACAGAAUUUCCUCUAUGUAGAGUUUGAUUGUGUAUUCAGGUUAUUGAGUGUCCAUAAGAAUUUGAAACAGGCUACAGAUUAAUUUACUUUUGGUAAUCUAUGUUCAGUUGCAUUUCCAAAUAAAUGUUUCACUUAUCCCGCAAAAAAUCCUCUAUAGUUCAGUUGCAUGACUUUAAAAAAUCCAGUUAUAGGACUGAACAUAUUUGACAGUUUUUUUUCAUGUAGAUUAUGUUGUCAGGCGCAGAAUGUUGAUGGAGGCAUGUCAAUCGGGGAAGAAGACCAGACACGAGCGUCCUCCUCAAGGGCAACUCUAAUGCCUGCAGGGCCAAAUAUUUUUAGUAGACAUGAUGCUGGCACGGGGAAGGAGGCCUGCAGUUUAUGAUCCUGUAGUUUUUAUAUUUCUGCUCCACUGAUUUCAUAUGUAAAACUGUAAGAUUUAACCCUACGCGAUCAAUGGUGACACUUUCAGGGGAACCGACUGUCAGUUCAGAAUCAACGACAGUUACAACAUUCAGUUGGUGGCCUAUAUUCUGCACCAACAGUAGACAAUAUUUGUGUUAACCCAGAAAAGUUUGCAGCACGGUUUGAGAAGCUGGAAUGUACUGAAGAAGAUUACGAAGAAGAGCUUGAGUGUAUUGAGAAGGUCUUUUCUCCAUGGGUUGAGAAGUGCAAGCAGUUUUGUUACAUCUUGUUUCUUUGAUUUGUAUUGAGUAACAGUCCCUGAAAUCAUUAAUAUGGAGGACGUUUGCACAUGGUGGCACUUCAAACUGUAUGCAUGUCAGUUUUCCUCUUCUCAUCUUCCAUGCAAGGAGCUCAAAUUGGCACAUUUAACCUUCUGAUGAGCUCGCCUUGCCGCAGGUUCAAUUCGCUCCUUCACUAUUAUUAUCAAGUACAGUAUACUGGAGCAUAUCAACUUCUUAAAUUUAUGUUGCAGCCUAGAAUAUAUCAGCAUCAAAAAUAUAUCAGCCAGUUUCUGUACGGGAGAGAUAGGUGGUUCUGGAGGUCGAGCAGGGAGGAGGGAGCUAGAGAAGCGGUGCAGCGACAGAGUUGGAGGAUCAGGGAGGGGCUAUGUUGGCCCGGCUCUGUCCCUCACGAAGAUGAGCACAUCUCCCUCCUCACCCCUUCUGAGCUGAGCUUCUUCCAACUCAUGGCAGGGCUUGGUGGUCUCACAGGGGCAAGGAUGUGAUCAUGGCUAAGAUGAGGUGGCCUCACUGCUUGUAGGUUUUCCCACCACAUGCUUGGUUCAGACAUCUCGUCAUCCUUAGGAUCAGUUUAUCCUAUGGGCCUGUACUACAGUGUUUAUCUGGCGACGGGGAGCUACUGCUGCCGGAGCAAAAGACGCGUCUUCCCCGAGCUGAAGCCGCCAGCCACCGCUCCUGCUUGCUGCUGCUGCCGAGAAAAAUCGCAGGCUUCUUCAGUUAAACAAGAUACUACUACUAUAUAAUGGAAAAGUUAUAUAGGGCAAGCCUAAAUCUUCACAGCACCUCCUUGUAGAUACUACUACUCCAUUAUUUUCGGUGACAUGGGAAGAACUGAUGCAGAAAUUAUAGAACCCUAUGUGAAGAAAAUUAUGGAUGAGAAUCGUGGAUAGAAGUAUGGGUGUGGAGCCAUGGGGUGUUCAAAAGUUUUGCAUGCUCCUGAGUUUGUUCAAAAUCAUCUAAAACUCAAGCACCCUAACUUGGUCUCUGUGUUGACUUCUGGAUUUUUUUGGUGAUAUCACCUAAUCAUGUAUGCUGCUCAGUUGUGCGGUUGUGCCCCUUUGUCAUUGAAUUCAGCUUUGUUGAUUGUUAUUGCUUUCCUUUUUUUCAGAAUAUUGAUAUAGUGAUAUUAUUUCAACAUUGGUAAGCUGAAACAUGCCAUUUAUGUUUCUGCCUACCAUAGUUUGUGAAUCAGUCAUUUUGUGGAAUUGAACCUGCUCCGUUCAAUUACGAAACCAUCUACUUAGUACAUUCAGCAAUUGUUUU